rnacentral:rRNA from 1 species
GAUGAACGCUGGCGGCGUGCCUAAUACAUGCAAGUCGAGCGAACAGAUGAGGAGCUUGCUCCUCUGACGUUAGCGGCGGACGGGUGAGUAACACGUGGAUAACCUACCUAUAAGACUGGGAUAACUUCGGGAAACCGGAGCUAAUACCGGAUAAUAUAUUGAACCGCAUGGUUCAAUAGUGAAAGACGGUUUUGCUGUCACUUAUAGAUGGAUCCGCGCCGCAUUAGCUAGUUGGUAAGGUAACGGCUUACCAAGGCAACGAUGCGUAGCCGACCUGAGAGGGUGAUCGGCCACACUGAAACUGAGACACGGCCCAGACUCCUACGGAGGCAGCAGUAGGGAAUCUUCCGCAAUGGGCGAAAGCCUGACGGAGCAACGCCGCGUGAGUGAUGAAGGUCUUCGGAUCGUAAAACUCUGUUAUUAGGGAAGAACAAAUGUGUAAGUAACUAUGCACGUCUUGACGGUACCUAAUCAGAAAGCCACGGCUAACUACGUG